UUUUUCAAUCAGGUUGUUUCAGGUAAUCUUUUGCCGAAUAGUCUGCCCUAGCUGACGCUGUGCAGAGAAUACUACGAUUGGAAACGGUUGGUUAGACCCGUUCGCACUGCACAAGAAAGCAAGAUGGACCGUAGUGAUGAGAGAAUCAAAAGAGCUUUAAGGCGCCGCCCUUAUGUGUUGAAUCCAGUGAGGGUGAACACCCCUGAUUCUGUGAUGUGGCCAACCGGUAAGGUGCACAGAAGACCAAGGCCUGUAAGUCAAAUCCGACCUGAAAACAAUUACACAUAAACCUUACUUAUGCUCCAUGUACAAACUGCAGUUAUCACAAUAAAAGCAACUGCAGAUAUCCCUCCC
rnacentral:lncRNA from 1 species